rnacentral:rRNA from 1 species
GAUGAACGCUGGCGGCGUGCCUAAUACAUGCAAGUCGAGCGAACAGACGAGGAGCUUGCCCCUUUGACGUUAGCGGCGGACGGGUGAGUAACACGUAGGUAACCUACCUAUAAGACUGGGAUAACUUCGGGAAACCGGAGCUAAUACCGGAUAAUAUUUCGAACCGCAUGGUUCGAUAGUGAAAGAUGGCUUUGCUAUCACUUAUAGAUGGACCUGCGCCGUAUUAGCUAGUUGGUAAGGUAACGGCUUACCAAGGCAACGAUACGUAGCCGACCUGAGAGGGUGGAUCGCCACAAUUGAACCGAGAACACGUCCAGACCUCUAAGGGAAGGCAGAGGAGGGAAAUCUUCGCCAAGGGCCGAAGGCCUGACGAGGAAACGCCGCUGAGGUGUGGAAGGUUUUCGAUUCUAAAACCUCGUUAAUUGGGAAAAACCAAACUUGAAAUUAACUGGCCCGUUCUGAAGGGUACCAAAUAAAAAGGCAACGGCUACUACGUG